CAGUAGCCGCGGGAAUACGUAGGUGGCAAGCGUUGUCCGGAAUUAUUGGGCGUAAAGCGAGCGCAGGCGGUCAAUUAAGUCUGAUGUGAAAGCCCCCGGCUCAACCGGGGAGGGUCAUUGGAAACUGGUUGACUUGAGUGCAGAAGAGGAGAGUGGAAUUCCAUGUGUAGCGGUGAAAUGCGUAGAUAUAUGGAGGAACACCAGUGGCGAAGGCGACUCUCUGGUCUGUAACUGACGCUGAGGAGCGAAAGCGUGGGGAGCGAACAGGAUUAGAUACCCCUGUAGUCCCUGUCUCUUAUAU
rnacentral:rRNA from 1 species